rnacentral:rRNA from 1 species
GAUGAACGCUGGCGGCGUGCCUAAUACAUGCAAGUCGAGCGAACAGAUGAGGAGCUUGCUCCUCUGACGUUAGCGGCGGACGGGUGAGUAACACGUGGAUAACCUACCUAUAAGACUGGGAUAACUUCGGGAAACCGGAGCUAAUACCGGAUAAUAUAUUGAACCGCAUGGUUCAAUAGUGAAAGACGGUUUUGCUGUCACUUAUAGAUGGAUCCGCGCCGCAUUAGCUAGUUGGUAAGGUAACGGCUUACCAAGGCAACGAUGCGUAGCCGACCUGAGAGGGUGAUCGGCCACACUGGAACGGAGACACGGUCCAGACUCCUACGGGAGGCAGCAGUAGGGAAUCUUCCGCAAUGGGCGAAAGCCUGACGGAGCAACGCCGCGUGAGUGAUGAAGGUCUUCGGAUCGUAAAACUCUGUUAUUAGGGAAGAACAAAUGUGUAAGUAACUAUGCACGUCUUGACGGUACCUAAUCAGAAAGCCACGGCUAACUACGUG